rnacentral:rRNA from 1 species
UACGUAGGUCCCGAGCGUUGUCCGGAUUUAUUGGGCGUAAAGCGAGCGCAGGUGGUUUAUUAAGUCUGGUGUAAAAGGCAGUGGCUCAACCAUGUAUGCAUUGGAAACUGGUAGACUUGAGUGCAGGAGAGGAGAGUGGAAUUCCAUGUGUAGCGGUGAAAUGCGUAGAUAUAUGGAGGAACACCGGUGGCGAAAGCGGCUCUCUGGCCUGUAACUGACGCUGAGGCUCGAAAGCGUGGGGAGCAAACAGG